UACGGAGGAUCCAAGCGUUAUCCGGAAUCAUUGGGUUUAAAGGGUCCGUAGGCGGUUUUGUAAGUCAGUGGUGAAAGCCCAUCGCUCAACGGUGGAACGGCCAUUGAUACUGCAAGACUUGAAUUAUUGGGAAGUAACUAGAAUAUGUAGUGUAGCGGUGAAAUGCUUAGAGAUUACAUGGAAUACCAAUUGCGAAGGCAGCUUACUACGGGUGUAUUGACACUGAGGCACGAAAGCGUGGGGAUCAAACAGG
rnacentral:rRNA from 1 species